GCAGUGGCGGUUUAGUGGUAGAAUACUCGCCUCCCAUGUGGGAGACCCAGGUUUGCUACCUGACCAGUGCG
rnacentral:tRNA from 1 species